rnacentral:rRNA from 1 species
CUACGGGGUGCUGCAGUUAAGAAUAAUCUACAAUGCGCGAAAGCGUGAUAGUUUGAGCCAGAGUGUUUUUCAAAUGAAAAACUUUUGCCAAGUGUAAAUAGCUUGGCGAAUAAGGACUGGGUAAGACGAGUGCCAGCCGCCGCGGUAAUACUCGCGGUCCAAGUCGCAGCCAUUUUUAUUGGGUCUAAAACAUCCAUAGCUUGCUUGAUAAGUUUCUUGUGAAAUUUUGUAUCUCAAAUGCAAAGCGUGCAAGAAGUACUGUCAAGCUAGAGACUGGAAGACGUAACGAGUACGUUUAGAGUAGCGGUUAAAUGUGUUAAUCCUAGACGGACUAACGAGAGCGAAGGCACGUUACGAGGACAGUUCUGACAGUAAGGGAUGAAGGCUAGGGGCGCAAAACGGAUUAGAUACCCGGGUAGUC